rnacentral:lncRNA from 1 species
CAGGAAUAUUCAUGAACAUGGAGGGGUUGGUCAUGUUCCAGGAUCUGUCUAUAGACUUCUCUCAGGAGGAAUGGGAGUGCCUGGACGCUGCUCAGAAGGACUUAUACAGAGAUGUAAUGAUGGAGAACUACAGCAGCCUGGUCUCACUAGGUCUCUCUAUCCCAAAGCCUGAUGUGAUUUCCUUACUGGAGCAAGGGAAAGAGCCCUGGAUGGUUUCAAGGGACGUGCUGGGAGGAUGGUGCCGAGGUGAGUAAGGACUGAGCACAUGGGGAAGACACUGCUGUUUAGAAGCCAGCCUGUCAGGGAGGCAGCACCGUACAGGUAUUGGUUGAGGAGUCUCUUCUUCAAGGUCCCAUGUAAGGGUGGUGGCCUAAGACACAUGAAGAGAAGUCAC